ensembl:lncRNA
GAGUCGGCAGUGUGGCUGGGCUGGUCUUGUCUGGCCUGGCUGUUGCAGGGUCCAGGGAGGCACAACUUGUCAAGUCGUGGCGGUUUUAGACUUUUAGUCAGCUGGUUGUCUGGCUGGAGGUUGCGGCUGUGGGAGCGUGGCUGGCGCAUUGUGUGUGUGGCGUCCCGUGUGCUGCACGGAGGGUGUUUGGUGUCUCGCCAUUCCGCAUCAGCGACGACUCCUGCCUGCCUGCCGACUGAGGUUGGAGGCGGAAGCGUGGCCUUCAAGCCGGUGCAGAUCGCCUUAUGCGUAGCAUUCAAUUCCUACGGGGCUGUUUGUGCCACUGGUAGGAGUGACUGGCUGAUCCUGGUGGCGGUGGUUCCCUUCAUUUUUCUGUAGUGCACCUUUGUGUCAAUAGUAGUGAUUUUUUUUGUUUUCACGUGCGGUGGAACAUUGGGCUCCCCUUGUACAUCGCAUUCCAUGGCUGUCAGCUUUGACACUAAAGGAGAAGAAGCGCGGACCCCCUCGUCAGCCUCUCCGCGCACUCCUCUGAAGUCGUUUCACGGCACAGAGAGAGUUCAUUCUAAAAAGGAGAUGGCACAGUUGGAAAGUUUCAGGGCAGACUGCGCAAACGCGAUUUUUUGUUGUGAUUGGCCGUGACGCAGUGACAUGAGAGGCGCUCUAAGGUGGACAGGCAGGCAGACAGACAGACAUGCCGAACAGAAGAGGCGUCCCUCAGGAGGGAGGACUCACAGACAGAGACAGACAGUUCUCCAGGGUCGAGAUGCUAAACAUUUCCCACUACAGCUCUCUGGCCUUUUCAGAGAUUCAGCUUGGGAAACAACACACACUCACACACACAACUACACGGAAUGGAAACGUUAUGAGGAGUAAAGGUCAUUCAUUUUAUAUAAACAUAUACUUAUAUUGCUGACAUACUCAAACUGCAGCGAUAUUUUCUUGAAAACGGUAUGAAACUCUAACCCCUAAAUUGUGACACUGAUUCAUUGUACAUAAUGACGUUAAAUAAUUUCCUAUCUAAUAAACGAUGCAUGGUUUUCUUUGUGAUCACUCGUGCAUGAGUAAGGAAUUGAAAUUCAGCACAACUACCAAAACAUUUCUGUGCAAAAGAGAAUUCCCGAU